rnacentral:rRNA from 1 species
CGAAGCCUGACGGAGCAAUACCGCGUGAGGGAAGAAGGCUUUUGGGUUGUAAACCUCUUUUGUCAGGGAAGAAGAAUUGACGGUACCUGAAGAAAAAGCAUCGGCUAACUCCGUGCCAGCAGCCGCGGUAAUACGGAGGAUGCAAGCGUUAUCCGGAAUCAUUGGGCGUAAAGGGUCCGCAGGUGGCGAAUAAAGUCUGCUGUUAAAGACCGGGGCUAAACUCCGGAAAGGCAGUGGAAACUGAUUAGCUAGAGUACGGUAGGGGUAGAGGGAAUUCCCAGUGUAGCGGUGAAAUGCGUAGAUAUUGGGAAGAACACCAGUGGCGAAAGCGCUCUACUAGGCCGAAACUGACACUGAGGGACGAAAGCUAGGGUAGCGAAAGGGAUUAGAUACCCCUGUAGUCUUAGCGGUAAACGAUGGAUACUAGGUGUAGCUUGUAUCGACCCGAGCUGUGCCGAAGCUAACGCGAUAAGUAUCCCGCCUGGGGAGUACGCACGCAAGUGUGAAACUCAAAGGAAUUGACGGGGGCCCGCACAAGCGGUGGAGUAUGUGGUUUAAUUCGAUGCAACGCGAAGAACCUUACCAGGGCUUGACACGUCGCGAAUCUAGCGGAAACGUUAGAGUGCCUUAGGGAAUGCGAACACAGGUGGUGCAUGGCUGUCGUCAGCUCGUGUCGUGAGAUGUUGGGUUAAGUCCCGCAACGAGCGCAACCCUCGUCCUUAGUUGCCAAUAUUAAGUUAGGCACUCUAGGGAGACUGCCGGGGACAACUCGGAGGAAGGUGGGGAUGACGUCAAGUCAGCAUGCCCCUUACGUCCUGGGCGACACACGUACUACAAUGGUUGGGACAAAGGGCAGCAAGCUCGCGAGAGUAAGCGAGUCUCAUCAAACCCAGCCACAGUUCAGAUUGCAGGCUGCAACUCGCCUGCAUGAAGUAGGAAUCGCUAGUAAUCGCAGGUCAGCAUACUGCGGUGAAUUCGUUCCCGGGCCUUGUACACACCGCCCGUCACACCAUGGAAGCUGGCUACGCCCGAAGUCGUUACCCUAACCCGGUUUUGGGAGGGGGAUGCCGAAGGUAGAGCUAGUGACUGGGGUGAAGUCGUAACAAGGUAGCCGUACCGGAAGGUGUGGCUGGAUCACCUCCUUU